rnacentral:misc_RNA from 1 species
AUGAAUUUAGGGAAUUGAUGCUGGCCUUUGUGCAUGUGCUCGUUCCCUCUAAUCCAUUCACACCUGUGCACUUGUUUCAGAGUUUUAGGGGGAGAAAUCCCCCUACUCUGCUAAUUAUACACUCCUUAAAUUUACUAUGAAUGUUUAUCAAGUCGAAAGACUUUUAAAUUAAUA